AUGAACAAGCCGAAGCUACCUCGAUCUCCUCCUCGCCCUCUCUCCGUUUCUCGUUUACGAAGCCCAGGAGAAAGCCAAAGUCGCCUCUCCCUAGCGGAGCCCGACAUUGACGCAGGCCCUGUCGCCGAAGUCCCAAUCUUGGCCGACCAGCCUUCUUAUAUAGCAGCAGGUAUAUGGCGCCUGAUUUUCUUCUUCUUCUCCUUCCUUUUCUCUUAUUUCUCUUUUCCUAUUUAUUCUCCAUGAUGUAAGAAACUACAGCAAUACGGCUUAUUUCUCUAAGUAAUUAGUUCAUGUGUAAGCAAAGUUAACGAUUCAUCUGUAAAUGCUUUAUAUGUUGAUAUAGAUUAUUCGAAAAUGUAUAGUUGUUACAUGAGAUUUGCAUUCUGUAUAUGAUUCAUGCCAUGAAAUUAAAAGUUUAUGUACAGGUUGUGAAAAAGUAAGAAGAAGCCAUGUUAUUUCUCUAAUAAAAAAAAAAGAGGAUGCAUGCCAAGUGUUUGUAAUAAUGUCUAAAAAAAAAGUUACAAGCUUUAACCAAGCAAAGGUAUUGAGUAAACAAAUUUAUACCUCAUUUCUCCUGUAUCGAUAAUGAGUCCAUAAGUUUUGAUUGUAUACAGGAUUUGGAUAUUUGUAUGUAAUACAAGUGAUCGUUAUGUUUUGGCCCUUCCAUUAUACAUGGGAGAUAUAUUCCUCUUUAUCUUUUCUAAAAAAAAUAAUAAUAAAUGGACCUAACUUUUAUUGAAAAAAAAAAAAAUCUGAAACCUAUACGGACCCCUUUUUUUUUUUUUUUUUGUGUUUGGAAGAUAUGACACACGAUUAUUAAUACCAUAUUUCUCAUCUAGUAAUCGCCUCGAUUUCCUUCUUUUAACUUGGUAGUUCUCGCUUUUUCAUAAUCGCAUUUGUUUCUCGAAUUCUUUACGGGCGCAUGAUUAUUUGGUGAGUGGGCAAUGCACCACAAUUCACUUAUAACCAACAUUGGAGAAAGAUAAGUGGUCAUAUUAUUCCUAGAUUUAACUUACCAUCUCUGUCACAAGUCAUGAUAAAAAAAAAUGUUUUUAAAGUUCGACAAUGCCAUGCUUGAAUUAUAUUUUAGUUCCAAAGAGUGGUAGGCAUAUAUACAUUUGUAAAGUAUCUCAUGACGUAUCUCAUCCACUUAUGUUCAAAUUGAUUAAACGUUUCUCAUAAUCUGUUUUAGUAUAGUAUUUUUUGUAAUUAUUGUUCGUGAGUGAUCUUGCGAAUUAACUUGAGCAGGAUAGUGUUUUCCUUAUACUUCGGUCAUAUUUAAAUAUAUAUUUUGUCGCUAAUGAUAUAGAAAGGUCUUAAUAUAACUUUUCUCAUAAUAUAACUUUUCACUCUGCUCUUUGGCUCAAACUAUUUCUCUUUUACAUCUAGUACUUGUAUCAAAGACUCACAUGGCAAAUAGAUAUCAAAAUCAGGUAAAGAAUCAGUUGUUAAUGAAAUAUCCAUAUCUGGAUGCUCAUAGUUAAUAACUGAACUUGAUAUAGAGUUUGGACUCUUUUGGCAUAGAAUUUUGAAACCCAUCAUGUAUGCCCAUGUUGAGGUUGAGUUCUAACAAAUUCGUUUUCUUAUUAUAGUUUUGUGAUCUUAUUAAACUUUUAUAUUUAUACCUCUUCUAUUCUCUUAUGUUAUGUAGCCUCGCUCCAUAGAGAUUUUGUGUACUAAUAAAAGUAGAAUAUGCUUUAUGUGAAUAUCUUCCAAAUAAUAAUUAUUUUGUAUCUAGUCAUAUCAAGCGGUUGUUAAUUAUACAUAAUGUUCGAUGCUACUCAAUAUGUCAUUUCAAUUUAUAAAAAAUACACAUAAUGUGUUUACUUUCUAAGAAAUCGAAUCUCAUCACGGUGUGUAUAUGUUUUACAAAAAUAAUUGCAAAUUUGUCAGGAGGGACUUAAUUUUCAUGCAAUUUAAAGCUAUGUGAUAUAGAGAUCGUUAUUUAUGCUAGCGAACUUCCAUGCAUCUUCAUAUUAUAGUGUUGACUUAUAUAUGUUCCAUAUCCGUGAAUAUUAGAUUGCUCGUUGGUUCGGAUAGUUGAUAUUUGUAGAUGCAUGUGUUGUGUCAAUAAAUUGCUAUGUAAUAUAUGUAUAAAUUUUCCUUAUUCUUUACAUUAGAAAACCUUUACUUUGCUUAUGUUUUAGUUGAUGACACACACUUGAUUGAUAGAUACGAAUUGUCUAGUAAUUAGAUUACUAUUAACUUACUUCUCUUUUUGAAUGGUGCCUACUCUCAUUCCCAUUUGCUCUUUUUCUAUGUUUUACAAGGUACUUUUUGGAUAACAAAGGAUAAGGAGCACUGGAGCACUUGGAGAAGAAGAAAGGACAGCCGGAUCCGAGCAUCAGUAGCCCCUAUUCAGUCUGGUAGGGGUGCUACGGACAGAACCACCGGGUCAUAGCCCCCAGUGUAGGGUCCAAAGGGAAAAUGAAAUCUCUUAUAGAGAAUUUCCUUUUUCAUUUGGGCAUCCAUUUGGAGGACGCAGUACGAGGAACCCUAAGGAAUAAAGAUGAUCCAUAGACGAAUCAAGGAAGUGAAGAUGAAUAUCGGGAUAAGAAUGCCUUGUUUUAAGCUUUGCGUCGUUCCCAGGUUGUUGUCGGUGGAGCCCAGCCACCAUUACUUUUAUGUACUAUAUGAUGUAAUAUUAUAUAGCACUUGCCAUAGAUUUUGGACACUCUAUUUUAUUGACUUGUGUUU